AUUGACCGCUGGCGGCAGGCCCAACACACGCAUGUACAACGAGCGGCGGACGGGUGAGUAAUGUCUGGGAAACUGCCUGAUGGAGGGGCAUCACUACCGGAAACGGUAGCUAAUACCGCAUACCAUCGGAUGUGCCCCGAUGGGAUUAGAUAGUAGGUGGGGUAAAGGCUCACCUAGGCGACGAUCCCUAGCUGGUCUGAGAGGAUGACCAGCCACACUGGAACUGAGACACGGUCCAGACGCCUACGGGAGGCAGCAGUGGGGAAUAUUGCACAAUGGGCGCAAGCCUGAUGCAGCCAUGCCGCGUGUAUGAAGAAGGCCUUCGGGUUGUAAAGUACUUUCAGCGGGGAGGCGUUACGCGCAGAGGAAGCACCGGCUAACACCGUGCCAGCAGCCGCGGUAAUUC
rnacentral:rRNA from 1 species